GAAGUUUUAGCCCACACUGCCUCAUGGGGAGAGGACAGUGGGAGACACCUGGGAUGUCUGGCCAUUGUGGUGUGUUGUGUUGUUUGUGAUACAUGGGACAGGGACCCAGGAUGCUGUGCGUUUUAGGCAAGUGCUCUACCCUGAGCUACAUCUUCUGCCCUACUUAUCUUUUAUUUUGAGCAGGGCCUUGGCUGAGUUUCCCAGUCUGGCCUUGAACUUGGUUGGGAUCCUUCUGCCUCAGCCUCCCAGAGUGCUGAGUUUACAGGUGUGCACCAUCACACCCUUCAUCUUCUUGUGACCUUGGGGAAAUAUUUUCCUGGGCCUCAGUUGCGCCUCUUGUGAAACUGGGGCUUUGAGCUACAAUGGCCUUUCAAGUCCCCUAAGCCUCGCACUGCUCAGCCCACCUUUUCAUCAUCCAAGGCAAUGGUGCGUGAAGAACAGGCCGAAGGAACUCACCUGAGCACGUUUCUGCUCCUCGCUGAAGGCCACCAGGAUGACAGAGAUAAACAGAUUCAGAACCACAAACGUCAUAAAAAUGACGCACGACCCAAUGAGGAAGGAGCCAAGCACUGGGCUGGAGUCCAGGACCUGCCAGGAAGAAGCCAGCGUCACUCCUGGGGUCUUGGGUCUUAACGGACACCCCGCCCCCACCUUCAGAGGGGGGCGUGGUCCUGGGAGCUGGGCGGAGCCGGGAGCCGGGAGUUCCCUCUACCUGGGGAGGGAGUGGGCUGCACCCUUGCCCGCCACCGCCUCCUCCGAAGACAGCGCCAUCUCUGGCUGGGGCUGGGAAUGUCCCCGUUGAGAUCACCCGCCCAGCCCUCCCAAGUCGCCAGCCCCUGGAGCUCUUCUGUGUGCAUUGGUCUCCUGCGCAGCCUGCCUGCGGGACGGGACGGGAGAGACAUUUUAUUUUUUCAAAGCUGCUUUGUGUUUGCCAGGCCCUGAGCCCAAAGGAUGACGGGAAUGGGGAGAAAAGACAAAGCCAGAGCUCCAAUCCACCUACCUCAAGACCAGUUGUCAUCCUCUGGCCAGCCCAGCGUGAUGGUAGUGAAAGGAUCCACAAACAGACCGGGGUCAUCGUACAGCUCUGCAUGCCCUUUGUCUCUCUGCAGAGGAAGCAGCUGCUGAGAUCUCUGGGAUUGGAAUAUACUGGAACUCAUGUCUUUCCCAGGUCGCUUGGCCCCUUCAAAGUUGCUGAUGGGAGACAUCUAGGACAAUACCGACACCAGGUUUUCACUAGCUCCUCAUACUUCUGUUUCUGAGGAGGACAAGGUUGGUGUAUUCACAGGGCUUCUGACAGUUGGAAGAUGAGCCCUUGGACAGGGAAAGACUGGAACAUAGCUCACCCUCUGCCUGAGAUUCACACAGCCCUCCGUCAAUGCCAGUGGGUGAGGCCCUUCUGCCAAGUUUUCCUGAGCCUCCCCCAUCCCACACAACACAAGCGCUACUCCAUUUCUACUUAUCCCAAUGUCGUGACAACUGCUUCUUUCUUUUCUGCUCAAUGCCACUUUGUCGUCCUUGUGAUUCAUGAUCACUAUUCAAUUCUAUCAUUGUUCCUGUUCCUGCUUCUUAGAAUCUCUUCUCAUGAAUGCUUCAGUAUUCAAUGAAUAAAUCAACUUUUUUAAGUGGGCCCCAAAGACUCAAAGAUUAUAAUUAUUACCUUCAGAAAGAACAUAAAUCCACGCUAACAUUUUCAAAAUGUCAAACAUUAUGAAAAGGU
rnacentral:lncRNA from 1 species